CAAAACACUUUUUGUUGAAUUGACAUGUCUGUUGUUUUUGGUUCCUGAUGUUGUUUUGGGAGGGUAGUUAUUGAUGUUACACAGAGUGGGUUCUGUGAGGUAGCUGCAGCAGCCAGGCAGAAGCUGCCAACACAGCUGCUGGUAAGACGUGCUAAUGCUAUCUCCCACUUUCAGUGAUGUUUAUUAUGUUUAUAAUUGUUUUCACAUUUUUGUAUUGCAUAAAUUAAAAUGUUAAUUGUUUUAUGUGUCUUAAAAAAAAGACUUUAGGUUCCGUUAGAAUUAAGCUGUUGCCCUUUAAAGUUGUUAAAAGUUUUUCCCUCCAAAAUGUUGUAGAGCUGCUGGGAUCUGACUGUAUGUGCCACACCGAUGGUUGAGUGUGUCCCAUGUUGUGUUACAGAAGAGAAGCUGCCAACACAGCUGCUGAGCUGCUGGGAUCUGACUGUAUGUGCCACACCGAUGGUUGAGUGUGUCCCAUGUUGUGUUACAGAAAUAAACUGACAGAUCCUGAGUCCCGUGUGCUCCAUUUUGCAACUGUUACAAGAGGAAGCCGGAGAACCCAGAGAGAACCCACACAUGCAGAAAGACCCUGGGCCGGGAAUCGAACCCAGAACCUUCUCGCUGCAAAACAACAGUGCUACCUGCUGCACCUUUGUGCAGCCCAGCUUCUGAAUCUGAAAGUAAAAAAAACGGUGUUUGACUCUCAUCAUAUUCAACAAAUAGAAGACUUUGUUUCUGCAUUCAAUUUUAUUAAGAUAAUCAAAGAGCUCAAUGUGUUUGAGCAACACAUUGACACCACAAGCAUGGCCUUCUACUAUAAAACCACUGCUUGUUCUAAA